GAGAAAAACCUUCACUCCCUGUGACAUUAGAAGAAUGGGAUGCUGCAGGUCUGAGGUCAGGAAAGGAACAAACGCUUCAGAAUAAAGGGAAGUGGGAUCUUCAGAUGCAGAUAGUAACAUCCACCCCCAGGAGAAACCUACUAAUUUGGCCUUGAAUGUUCAGUUUUCCACAGGAACACAGCAGAGAGGAAGACAGCUACAACUCCAGUACCCUGCAGGACUGCAAUGCCUACAGUGAUUUUAAAAUGCUCAAAUAACGUGUGUAAGAAGAAAUUCCCAUCAUCUUUUGAGGAAUAAACAAAAUGCUUGCGAUUGAUUCAAUGGUUGAAAAGCUGAAGACGGACUAGGCAGAACUCGUGGGAUAGAAUGGCUAUGCGUAUACAUCUGUGUGAAACAUGGGUCAGAAUGGCAAUGAAAGUAACAAUGUUAAAGCUAUGUAUGGCUGAUUUUUUGGAGGGACUCACAACUAUUGCUUUUUCAUGGAUAUGCACCUGUGGACUGGGGUGAACUCUGUUGUGAAGAUGGAAGAACUAGAACCAACAUGCAGCCAAAAAAAGCACCAGAAAUUUAGGAGCGAGAAAUGUAAAUGUAAUGAGAACAGCAAUUAAUACAUGUAUGGCUCAGUAUGAAAUUUAGUUCACAUCCUCUCCUUAUUCUCCUUAUUCGUUUUGAAUAUAAUUUAUUUUUCUAUACAUAGAAAACAACCACUAAUUUGCAUGGGCUUAGAACAUUUUUUUCAAUUUGCUACUCAGGAGUAAAAAUCCUUUCUGGCUUCAAAAUGGUAAUGUGACCACUCCCUGGAUAAACAUCAUAUAAGGGGUCAUUCUCAAUGAGGUGUUUCUGUCAAGGAAAAAUAUGUUUGAACCUGAAUGGAAACUUAUAGGGAUUCUGUCAUGAUUUUUAUGAUGUAGUUUUUAUUUCUAAAUUACAAUGUUUACACUGCAAAUAAUUCACUCUACAAUAUAAAAUUUCAUUCCUGAA